UUAAUGAGAGUUUGAUCCUGGCUCAGGACGAACGCUGGCGGCGUGCCUAAUACAUGCAAGUAGAACGCUGAGGUUUGGUGUUUACACUAGACUGAUGAGUUGCGAACGGGUGAGUAACGCGUAGGUAACCUGCCUCAUAGCGGGGGAUAACUAUUGGAAACGAUAGCUAAUACCGCAUAAGAGUAAUUAACACAUGUUGGUUAUUUAAAAGGAGCAAUUGCUUCACUGUGAGAUGGACCUGCGUUGUAUUAGCUAGUUGGUGAGGUAAAGGCUCACCAAGGCGACGAUACAUAGCCGACCUGAGAGGGUGAUCGGCCACACUGGGACUGAGACACGGCCCAGACUCCUACGGGAGGCAGCAGUAGGGAAUCUUCGGCAAUGGACGGAAGUCUGACCGAGCAACGCCGCGUGAGUGAAGAAGGUUUUCGGAUCGUAAAGCUCUGUUGUUAGAGAAGAACGUUGGUAGGAGUGGAAAAUCUACCAAGUGACGGUAACUAACCAGAAAGGGACGGCUAACUACGUGCCAGCAGCCGCGGUAAUACGUAGGUCCCGAGCGUUGUCCGGAUUUAUUGGGCGUAAAGCGAGCGCAGGCGGUUCUUUAAGUCUGAAGUUAAAGGCAGUGGC
rnacentral:rRNA from 1 species